rnacentral:rRNA from 1 species
CCUACGGGCGGCAGCAGUGGGGGAUAUUGCACAAUGGGGGGAACCCUGAUGCAGCGACGCCGCGUGGGUGAAGAAGCGCCUCGGCGCGUAAAGCCCUGUCAGCAGGGAAGAAAAUGACGGUACCUGAAGAAGAAGCCCCGGCUAACUACGGGCCAGCAGCCGCGGUAAUACGUAGGGGGCAAGCGUUAUCCGGAUUUACUGGGUGGAAAGGGGGCGCAGACGGCGAUGCAAGCCAGGAGUGAAAGCCCGGGGCCCAACCCCGGGACUGCUCUUGGAACUGCGUGGCUGGAGUGCAGGAGGGGCAGGCGGAAUUACUGGUGUAGCGGUGAAAUGCGUAGAUAUCAGGAGGAACACCGGUGGCGAAGGCGGCCUGCUGGACUGCAACUGACGUUGAGGCCCGAAAGCGUGGGGAGCAAACAGGAUUAGAUACCCUGGUAGUC